ACCUAAGAGAUUAAGCGUUCCCUUCGGGACGGAAUGACAGGUGGUGCAUGGUUGUCGUCAGCUCGUGUCGUGAGAUGUUGGGUUAAGUCCCGCAACGAGCGCAACCCUUAUUGUCAGUUGCCAGCAUUUAGUUGGGCACUCUGGCGAGACUGCCGGUGACAAACCGGAGGAAGGUGGGGAUGACGUCAAAUCAUCAUGCCCCUUAUGACCUGGGCUACACACGUGCUACAAUGGACGGUACAACGAGUCGCGAAACCGCGAGGUCAAGCUAAUCUCUUAAAGCCGUUCUCAGUUCGGAUUGUAGGCUGCAACUCGCCUACAUGAAGUUGGAAUCGCUAGUAAUCGUGGAUCAGCAUGCCACGGUGAAUACGUUCCCGGGUCUUGUACACACCGAA
rnacentral:rRNA from 1 species